AAACUUAGGUUAAAAACCAAGAGCCUUCAAAGCCCUAAAUAAGGCUUAGUUUUUGUAAAACCUACGG
rnacentral:tRNA from 1 species